rnacentral:rRNA from 1 species
GAUCAUGGCUCAGGAUGAACGCUAGCGGCAGGCUUAACACAUGCAAGUCGAGGGGAAACGACAUCGAAAGCUUGCUUUUGAUGGGCGUCGACCGACGCACGGGUGAGUAACGCGUAUCCAACCUGCCCACCACUUGGGGAUAACCUUGCGAAAGUAAGACUAAUACCCAAUGAUAUCUCUAGAAGACAUCUGAAAGAGAUUAAAGAUUCAUCGGUGAUGGAUGGGGAUGCGU